rnacentral:tRNA from 1 species
GCGCCCUUAGCUCAGCUGGACAGAGCAUCGGAUUUCUAAUCCGUUGGUCGGGGGUUCGAGUCCCUCAGGGCGCGCCA